CAGCACCUCAAGUGGUCAGGAUGAUUAUUGGGCCUAAAGCAUCCGUAGCCGGCGCUGUAAGUUUUCGGUUAAAUCUGUACGCUCAACGUACAGGCUGCCGGGAAUACUGCAGCGCUAGGGAGUGGGAGAGGUAGACGGUACUCGGUAGGAAGGUGUAAAAUCCUUUGAUCUAUUGAUGACCACCUGUGGCGAAGGCGGUCUACCAGAACACGUCCGACGGUGAGGGAUGAAAGCUGGGGGAGCAAACCGGAUUAGAGACCCGAGUAGUCC
rnacentral:rRNA from 1 species